rnacentral:rRNA from 1 species
UACGGAAGGUGCGAGCGUUAAUCGGAAUCACUGGGCGUAAAGAGCGCGUAGGCGGUUAGAUAAGUUGGGUGUGAAAGCCCUGGGCUCAACCUGGGAACUGCAUUCAAUACUGUCUGACUAGAGUGUAAUAGAGGGAGGCGGAAUUCCGCAUGUAGCGGUGAAAUGCGUAGAGAUGCGGAGGAACACCAAUGGCGAAGGCAGCCUCCUGGAUUAACACUGACGCUGAGGCGCGAAAGCGUGGGGAGCAAACAGGAUUAGAUACCCCAGUA